rnacentral:rRNA from 1 species
GACGGAGGGUGCAAGCGUUGUUCGGAAUUACUGGGCGUAAAGGGCGCGUAGGCGGUCUGUUAAGUUCGGUGUGAAAGCCCCCGGCUCACCUGGGGAACUGCGCCGGAAACCGACAGACUCGAGUACCGGAGAGGAGGGUGGAAUUCCUGGUGUAGCGGUGAAAUGCGUAGAUAUCUGGAGGAACACCGGUGGCGAAGGCGGCAUCCUGGACCGAGAUUGACGCUGAGGCGCGAAAGCCAGGGGAGCAAACGGG